UACGUAGGUGGCAAGCGUUAUCCGGAAUUAUUGGGCGUAAAGCGCGCGCAGGUGGUUUCUUAAGUCUGAUGUGAAAGCCCACGGCUCAACCGUGGAGGGUCAUUGGAAACUGGGAGACUUGAGUGCAGAAGAGGAAAGUGGAAUUCCAUGUGUAGCGGUGAAAUGCGUAGAGAUAUGGAGGAACACCAGUGGCGAAGGCGGUUCUCUGGGACGGUACUGACGCUGAGACGCGAAAGCGUGGGGAGCGAACAGG
rnacentral:rRNA from 1 species